AUGUACAGUGUGUGAAAGGUAUCAGUUAUUCCAUCUAAGCAGAGUCGGAAAAAUCCUCCUGGUAAAAAAAGCGUUCAUGUAAUUUUAAGAAACUGUCAAACUGAACUUUCAAUCGAAGAGGAGAGAAAGCUUUAAUGAGAGAAAUGGUUAUUUGCCGUUAUGGAAACUAGUGAUUAUUGUGUCAGACCAAGGCUUGCAUCCCCAAAAAUUGCACCUUAUUCCCUCUGUAGUGCAUAUGUUGGCCCUUUGGUCAGUAAAGGUGUGUACUACAUAGGGAACAGGGUGCCAUUUGUGAUACAUGCCAUGUUAGAUGUUAUCUGUAGUGGACUUGUGAGAGCCUGUGUCCAAUGUCUCUCCCNNNNNNNNNNCCCCAAGGUUGUGAGAUACUCGGCUGUUAUAUGUGCUUAGAAAACACAUCACUGUUCAUCACGGAAAAGACGAUAACUACCACUCCCACGCAGAUACACACUUAUCAUCUCACUAUAGAACAGGAUCAUAUAUAUGGUGUUCAGUAUACCUAGUUACCACUGGGUAGACAGGUCACGCGUGAUACAAGUCAGUAUUCGACGUCUGGAGAUGAUGUGGAAAUCGGCCACUAGGGGGCAACGGGGAACGUUGUUACCUUCAAGUAGGUUUUGGGGGUUUUCCUACAUUGUUGUGGAUGGGGAUGGUGGAUCAGCGUAAGCAUCUGCCUCUGGGUUUCAAAAGUAGCAUUUUUGAAUUCAGCGACAGGAAACAGUUUUAUCCCAAAUCUUAACCCUUAUCUCAACCAUUCAGAUUUAAUGCCUAAAUUUAACUCUGAUUUUACAAAUUUCGAGUGAAUGCCUAAACUUAAUCUUAAACACUUUGAUGUUUGGAACAAAUUCAAAAUUUGACGUUUGAGAAAAAAUGGAUGAACUAAUUCUGAUGUGAGGCAGAGCUUGUUGUGUGUGUGUGUGUCUGUGUCUGUGUGUCGUCUGUGUGUCUGUGUGUGUGUGUGUGUCUGUGUGUGUGCGUGUGUGUUUUGAUAUCGGUGUUCUAUCUCCAGUCUUUACCAGUGUAGUGGCUAACACGGUACAGAGUUAUAUUUUGUGUGUGUGUGUGUGUUGUGAUAUCGGUGUUCUAUCUCCAGUCUUUACCAGUGUAGUGGCUAACACGGUACAGAGUUAUAUUUUGUGUGUGUGUGUGUGUUGUGAUAUCGGUGUUCUAUCUCCAGUCUUUACCAGUGUAGUGGCUAACACGGUACAGAGUUAUAUUUUGUGUGUGUGUGUGUGUUGUGAUAUCGGUGUUCUAUCUCCAGUCUUUACCAGUGUAGUGGCUAACACGGUACAGAGUUAUAUUUUGUGUGUGUGUGUGUGUUGUGAUAUCGGUGUUCUAUCUCCAGUCUUUACCAGUGUAGUGGCUAACACGGUACAGAGUUAUAUUUUGUGUGUGUGUGUGUGUGUUGUGAUAUCGGUGUUCUAUCUCCAGUCUUUACCAGUGUAGUGGCUAACACGGUACAGAGUUAUAUUUUNNNNNNNNNNCCCCAAGGUUGUGAGAUACUCGGCUGUUAUAUGUGCUUAGAAAACACAUCACUGUUCAUCACGGAAAAGACGAUAACUACCACUCCCACGCAGAUACACACUUAUCAUCUCACUAUAGAACAGGAUCAUAUAUAUGGUGUUCAGUAUACCUAGUUACCACUGGGUAGACAGGUCACGCGUGAUACAAGUCAGUAUUCGACGUCUGGAGAUGAUGUGGAAAUCGGCCACUAGGGGGCAACGGGGAACGUUGUUACCUUCAAGUAGGUUUUGGGGGUUUUCCUACAUUGUUGUGGAUGGGGAUGGUGGAUCAGCGUAAGCAUCUGCCUCUGGGUUUCAAAAGUAGCAUUUUUGAAUUCAGCGACAGGAAACAGUUUUAUCCCAAAUCUUAACCCUUAUCUCAACCAUUCAGAUUUAAUG
rnacentral:lncRNA from 13 species